CGGACGGGUGAGUAAUGUCGGGGAAACUGCCUGAUGGAGGGGGAUAACUACUGGAAACGGUAGCUAAUACCGCAUAACGUCGCAAGACCAAAGAGGGGGACCUUCGGGCCUCUUGCCAUCGGAUGUGCCCAGAUGGGAUUAGCUAGUAGGUGGGGUAACGGCUCACCUAGGCGACGAUCCCUAGCUGGUCUGAGAGGAUGACCAGCCACACUGGAACUGAGACACGGUCCAG
rnacentral:rRNA from 1 species